UGGCGAACGGGUGAGUAACGCGUGAGGAACCUGCCUCAAAGAGGGGGACAACAGUUGGAAACGACUGCAAUACCGCAUAAGCCCACGGGUCGGCAUCGACCUGAGGGAAAAGGGGCAAUCCGCUUUGAGAUGGCCUCGCGUCCGAUUAGCUAGUUGGUGAGGUAAUGGCCCACCAAGGCGACGAUCGGUAGCCGGACUGAGAGGUUGAACGGCCACAUUGGGACUGAGACACGGCCCAG
rnacentral:rRNA from 1 species